ACAGCUGGUGCAGCAAUGUCUGAAACAUCCUCUUGGCCUCAAUCAUGGCUCAUGGUCUGGUCACCAGCAGUCUGAACCUCAAACCUGGGGAGUGCCUCAGAGUGAAGGUGAGGUGGCCCCCGACGCCAAGAGCUUCAUGCUGAACCUGGGCAAAGACAGCCACAACCUGUGCCUGCACUUCAACCCUCACUUCAAUGUGCACAGGGACGCCAACAUCAUGGUGUGCAACAGCAAGGACGGUGGUGCCUGCGGGGCGGAGCACUGUGAGCCGGCCCUCCCCUUCCAGCCUGGGAACGUGGUGGAGGUCUGCGUCUCCUCUGACUAGGCUGACUUGACUGUCACACUGCCAGAUGGACACCAAUUCAAGUUCCCCAACCCGCUCAGCCUGGAGGCCAUCAACUACUUGGCAGCUUAUGGUGACUUCAAGAUCAAAUGUGUGGCCUUUGAGUGAAGCCUCCCAGCCCAUUGUCACCAAUAAAGGCAGCUGCCUCUGCUCCCCCUGAA